UUUUAAUAUUCCCUUCUCCACUAAAAAUGAGACAAGCCCGCGUAUAUCAAACAGAAAAGGCUAGAAAAAACGGUAGAAUUAAAUCUCAAUAGAAUAGCAGAUUAAUUCAGAGAUACAACGAAACGUCUGAUCUAUCCGUGGCGACGAGGACCCUGUGAUUCUAACAAUUCGUCGACUGCAAUGUGAGCCCUCUAGGAAGUCUUACAACAAAAAACAAGAAAUCGAUGAAUAUCUAGGUACAGAAAAUUGUUUAAUAAUGUGAAAAGGUCAUGCACGUAGGCGUUGUUCCGGAAGAAGUAGGAAGAAGCAAGCGGCGCAUCACUAGCAUCCAAGAACCCUGCUAACGGUCUAUGAAAUGCCUAGUGUGGAUCGAGGACCAGUCAGGCAGUAUACGGGCUAUUGCAUUAAAAAGGCUAGACGAGGUCCUGAAUACGAUCCUGGUUACGUUGCAUGCCCGCGUUAAACAAUUUAACUGCAGUUAUCAACGCAAGCUGUACAUACAAAUACAAACCACGAAACGAAGGCAGCUGGAAUCAAUCGAGUCCAACAAGUAGGUCGAUCUCCUACAGGGUGCUCGCCGAAUAGGAUAUGGACACUGUUACAAAGAUAAAGGCGACAGAAGGGAACAGGCAUAAUGAAAACUUGUUGCGCAGGAUCGGCCAAUUCCGGAUGAGCAGCCUUGCUUUUUCAAAAUACAUCGAGAUUUCGCAAGAUCGGCUAAUGGCUAGACAUAUUCGGUUAUCGUUGGUCUUCAGCGAAGUGAUCAGGUGUAUGUGAAAUUAUACCAAUAAUGGCCUUUUAAGCUGUCAGAUACCAGUCACCGGGACGCAGCUGAGAUGUUUGGAAGAAAAUGAGAUACAACAUAUAAAAUCACCGUGAAAGCCGUAGACAAACAGAAUGAUUCGUCGAAACGUUCAAGCGUGCCCUUGUUUGGAUACGAGAUAGAACGAACGUACUGCAUUACUAUACAGAUUGUCUCCGGUUGACAUGAAGUUUCAUAACAUCUUUAAAAAAAAGAGUUAAAUAUUUUCGUAGAAUUUGGAAAUCAAUAAACAAGAGCUCGAACAAAAAACUCGA